rnacentral:ncRNA from 2 species
UUGAAUAAAUCCGUUUUCAGUGCCUUUGCAGAAAAAAGAAUCUGCUGGCUAAGAGGGAAUCAGGUGCAAAUCCUGAGCGAUCCGGUCACUGUAAACAGGGAAUGAAAUCCGAAGAUGCCAUUGGCAAUGCGUUGCUGAGAAGGCUGGAUUUCGUAUUGAUCUGUAAGUCAGGAAACCUGCUGAAUUCGUUAAUGAAAG